GCUGUGAAUAUGGAAUGAAUAAGUGCUGAAGAAAAGGGGUUAGGUUGGCUCAGAGUUCAAGCUUAUUUAGAUCAGGAACUGUGUAAUUUGUGGCACUUUCCUUUCCUCUCUUCUAUCUGACGCUGAGAACAAUCCUUUUUUUUCACAACCAGGGAACUCCAUAAAAAGGCAGAAGUCUGAACAUACAACUUUUGGAAAUUCUUCCUCUGUAUGAGUCCCAGGGCAAGACUAAAUUCCACUUAGACCUUCUAUCUUAAGGAGCAGAAGGGAGAUGUCCUAUGACUGCAUAGAUGGGAAACUACAUGUGAAUGAAAAACGGUGCCGUCGUAUCGGUAAACCAAGGAUGUUGCAGCCACCAAGCCAACACGUUACAGCUGCCCCUGACGGUGAGCCCUGACGGAACUCAGGAUGGAAACAGGAUGCCCACCAUCAAGCCUCAGCCACUGCAGCCACCCCGACCGUGCACCCUGAGAGGACUCACGGUGGGAAAGAACAGGAUACUGGCCCCAGAUAGCUGAAGUUCAUACCAAAGGAAUGACUUCAAUGAGCCCGGAGUUUUGCAUAGAAAAGCGCUAAAUUCCUUAACUUGAGAUGUCUGGUUUUUCUUUAAUUAACAAUAAUCUUUUGAUGUUCCAGCUACCCAGUCUUUGUUGCAAAAACUCGUAUAGAUCCUGGUUCUUCCCUUACCUCUUCAGAGCGGUCCCUCGGUGUGACCUGAGAUGCUGUGGCCCGGGCUUAAGUCCUCAGAUUUGUCCGCCAAAUAAAACAUAAUUCUCAA